rnacentral:rRNA from 1 species
ACUUAAGCAUAUCAAUAAGCGGAGGAAAAGAAACCAACAGGGAUUGCCCUAGUAACGGCGAGUGAAGCGGCAACAGCUCAAAUUUGAAAUCUGGCCCUUGUGGUCCGAGUUGUAAUUUGUAGAGGAUGCUUUUGGUGAGGUACCUUCCGAGUUCCCUGGAACGGGACGCCAUAGAGGGUGAGAGCCCCGUCUGGUUGGAUACCAAUCCUCUGUAAAGCUCCUUCGACGAGUCGAGUAGUUUGGGAAUGCUGCUCAAAAUGGGAGGUAUAUGUCUUCUAAAGCUAAAUAUAGGCCAGAGACCGAUAGCGCACAAGUAGAGUGAUCGAAAGAUGAAAAGCACUUUGAAAAGAGGGUUAAAUAGUACGUGAAAUUGUUGAAAGGGAAGCGUUUGUGACCAGACUUGGGCUUGGUUAAUCAUCCGGCGUUCUCGCCGGUGCACUUUGCCAGCCCAGGCCAGCAUCAGUUCGCUGCGGGGGAAAAAGGCUUCGGGAACGUAGCUCCUCGGAGUGUUAUAGCCCGUUGUGUAAUACCCUGUGGUGGACUGAGGUUCGCGCAUCUGCAAGGAUGCUGGCGUAAUGGUCAUCAACGACCCGUCUUGAAACACGGACCAAGGAGUCGUCUUCGUAUGCGAGUGUUCGGGUGUCAAACCCCUACGCGUAAUGAAAGUGAACGGAGGUGGGAGCCUCGGCGCACCAUCGACCGAUCCUGAUGUUUUCGGAUGGAUUUGAGUAAGAGCAUACGGGGCCGGACCCGAAAGAAGGUGAACUAUGCCUGUAUAGGGUGAAGCCAGAGGAAACUCUGGUGGAGGCUCGCAGCGGUUCUGACGUGCAAAUCGAUCGUCAAAUAUGGGCAUGGGGGCGAAAGACUAAUCGAACCUUCUAGUAGCUGGUUUCCGCCGAGGUUCCCCUCAGGA